UGGAGUACCAAUUCAUACGGAUAAUACACUCAAGGCGUAGAAAUAUAUAAUCACAAAUGAAUUCAUCCAUCAACCAAGUUUUAUGCUCAUGUCUCAUCAACUCGUAUUUCCUUAUGUCACAUAAUUCCAUGUAAUACUUACCAAACUUCUUCAAAUUAGUGAACAUCUUACGGAAUUGAGUACUUCGUUUGUUUCGAUGCUAUAGUUCAACUAUGGUCUUACACAUCUUUACAUAAUGAUGCCAUAGCCCAGCUAUGGUCUUACACGUAAUCACAUAUCUUACUGAUGUCAUAUCCUUGAUAUGGUCUUAUACAGUAGCAUAUAUCACACCGAUGUCAUAUCCCAGAUAUGGUAUUAUACAGAAAUCACUUGUCACUUGUCACUUGUAGCCAAAGCUACCACUAUUCACUGAUCAGGUAGUUGGUGCUACCAUUUUUCACUGAUCAGGUAGCCGGAGCUACCACUUUUCACUGAUCAGGUAGCCGAAGCUACCACUUUUCACUGAUCAGGUAGCUGAAACUACCACUUUUCACUGAUCAGGUAGCUGAAGCUACCACUUUUCAGUUGUCAUUUGCCAUUGAUCAGAUAAGUGUAGCCGAAGCUAUCACUUAUCACUUUCACUUGUCCUUAAUCAGAUAAGUGUAGCCGAAGUUAUUACUUAUCACUUUUAUUUGUCCUUGAUCAGAUAAGUGUAGCCGAAGCUAUCACUUAUCACUUGUUUCCAUGGUCCAACCAUGGUCUUUUCCUUCAAUUCAUCUUGUCACUGAACUGAAAUGCUCAAUUUGAUCAUUUAUUCAAUUUUCAUGCUUUUACAUUAUUCACGAUUUUAUCAUCAAUACAUAUGAAAUAACUCAUCAUAAAAUUCAUAAAAUUAACAAAUAAUCACUAAAAUUUAGCCAUAUAAACUCACAAGUUCAAUUUUUGUAUUAUAACGAUAAUCAUAAUUUCAUAAUAAAUAUUCCAAAUAAAACAUUAUAUCAUUUCUAAUCCAACACUCAUCGAUUAUAACCGGGCAUUUGAUCAAUUUAUACACGAGUCAUUCAUAUAUAUGUAUAUUUUUCCUCUUCCUCCUCUCUAUCCACAUCCUUAGUAUAAACAACACACUUGUAAGUAACAUUAUCCAUAAUUUUCAUUAUCUACUUAUGUGAAUAUUCAAGCUAUCCAUCUGUGUCAUAGUCACUAAAUUAUUUUUAUCUUGAGCUAUAGAACUCCAAAUUAAGAUCUGCUAAUUUUAUAUAAAACUAGACUCAUAUACCUUCUUACCAUAAAAAUUUCAUAAUUUUUGGUUGGGCCAAUUAAUACAGUUUAUUCAUUGAAGUCUCCCCUGUUCUGCUGUCUGACAGUUCCGACCCUUCUUCACUAAAAAUUAAUUAUCUUCUUGUACAGGAUUCAAAUGAUGUCCUCGUUUGUUUCUAUUCAAAAUAGACUCAUUCAGUAUUCUAAACAUAUAAAUUUAAGCCCCUAAUUAUUUUUAUCCAAUUUUUCAUGAUUUUCCAAAGUCAAAACAGGGGAACUCGAAAUCAUUCUGACCUUGUCUCACAAAAGUUAUUGUAUCUGAUGAUUUACAAUUUUAUUGCUUACAUAAUUUCUUUUAUAAGAAACUAGACUCAAUAAGCUUUAAUUUCAUAUUUUAUUCAUCCUCUAAUUCGAUUUAUAUAAUUUUUAAUGAUUUUUCAAAAUUAGACUACUGCUGCUGUCUAAAACAGUUUUAGUGCAAAAUGUUUAUUUCCAUUUUGCCCCAAAUUUCACAAUUCAUACAAUUCAGACAUUGUUCAAUUAACCCCUCAAUUAAGAUAAUUUUCUCAAUUAACACUUUUUCUAGACAUUAUAAGUUAUUUCAUAAUUUUUGAAAUUCAGAAUUUCCAUAUGAAACUUUAACUUCAAACUCUUUUACAAUUAGGUCCCAAACAUUCACUUUCUAUUCAAUUCUUUCAAUAAAAUUAGCAUAUAAAUAAUUUAAAGCUCUAAUUCCAUGCCAAAUCAUCAUAUACUUCCAGCACAUAUUCAUAAAAACUUUCAAUUUCUUUCAUAGAAUCAAAAACUAAUGAAUUCAACAAGUGGACUAGUUGUAAAAGUCACAAAAACAUAAAAAUUUCAAGGAGAAAGCAAGAAUUAAACUUACAUGAAGCUAGAGUAUGAAAACCAGCUUGAACCCUCCUCCAUGGCUGUUUUUCAGCUGAUGAAUAUGAAGAGAAAUGAAGAGAAUUCUAGAUAUUCCAAUUUAGUCCCAUUUUUAUUUAGCCAAUUUUGGCAAUUUUCUAAUUUUACCCUUAUUUCAUCCAUUUCCUGAUUUUCCCCAGCUAUUGCCGCCCAAAAUAUCUCCUUUAGGACUAUUUUCACUUUAGGUCCUUCCUCAUUUGACAAUUGAGCUAUUUAAUCCUUCUAGCAACUUUUACACUCUUUUCAAUUUAGUUCUUUUUAUUUAAUUAACCACCCAAACGUAAAAAUUUUCUGACUAAAUUUUAAUACUACCUCACCAACACUCCAUAAAUAUUUCUAAAAAUAUUUAUGGCUCGAUUUAUGAAGUUGAGGUCUCGAUACCUCAUUCUCACCCAAUUUACCUAAUUAAUUCUUUUAAAUCACCAAAUUCACUAAUUCAAAAAUGCUUUUAUAUUCGCAUUUGACUCAUAGAUAUUAAUUUAUUAAAUUUUUAACUCACCCGUCGGAUUUGGUGAUCUCAAAUCUCUAUUCCCGAUAUCACUGAAAAUUAGGCUGUUACAUAAUAAAUAUAAUUUUUUUUAAAAAUAUUGUAAGCACUUUUAUUGAUCAAUAAAAUUCUCUUGUUCUCGUAUUUCUUAUUCAUUUACUUUCUCUUUUAUUUAUUUUAUAAUAAUAUUUAAAUUAAUAUUUGAUUUUCAAUUUUUUUUAUCCAAGUUAGUGUACGAAACGAGUGAUAUUAACCUAGUAAAAAACAUUACAUAUAACUCAUCACGUGAAAUUAACUCUAAAUAUAUUAUAUAAUGUUGUUUUCAUAAAAUUAUAUAUAUAUAUUUUGCAAAGAGUUCUUCUAUUUAUGAAAAUUAUUGAUUAUAACAUAUAUUAAAUUUUCAUAAAUUUAUCUACUAUCUAUUAACCCUGAUAAAUUUGAUAAGUUUCAUAUUCGAACUGUUAAUGUAAAUCAGUCACAAUUAACAGGAAGAUAAAAAAUGUAUAUAAUUAAUCAAAUAAUACUUUAUGAUUAUAUUUGUUGGCCCAAAUAUAAUAUUUAAUCUUGAUUUAUAAUGAUUGUAUCAUCGAUUACAUAAACAAAAUACUUAUAAUCCAUCACAAAAAAUAUAGAUUACAUGAACAAAUUAAUUAAUCAUGAUUAUAUUGAUUGUACCACACAAUUUGCCGAUAAUCCAUCUCCUUGGAUAAGAACCCACUUUUAAGAUCUUAUGUUGGAAAAGAAAAUUUGUGGUUUAAUGAAUUAUCAAUGAAUUUUUAGGCUAUUGAAAAUUUUGAGAUCUACGAUUUGAAUCUUAUCAUAUAUGAGCUUUUAGUUUAAAUUUAUUACACUUAAGUUCUGUAAUACCCCAUACCCGUACCUGAGACCAGGAUAGGAUACAAGGCAUUACCGAGAUUUUCAGAAUAAUUUUAAUUAAUUUUUUAUUAUUUAAUAUUCAUUUUCAUGUUUCAUGUAACAUCCUUUUCAUAUAUUCAAUUCAAAAUAUCAUAUAAAAUACGAUACAAUACUUAAAUUGUCAUAUUUACAAUGCUCAUUCAGGAUAUACGAACCUACCUGACUAAAUUACAGAAAUACCAAGAUUUAGGGGCAUAUUGGUAAUUUACCAUUUUCCCAAAUUUCACCCAAUCUUAAAUUGAUAAUUUCAUUGCAUAUAUUAAUUCAGAUAAUAAAACAAUUCAUUCCUUUCAAUUUAGUCAUUUUCGAUAUUUUUACAAAAUUACCCAUAAAGUUUUACUUUUAUUCAAUUUAGUCCUUGAGCCAAAAACAUACAAAUUAGCCAUGCUAGCUGAAUAUUCAUACAUAUCUUUCCUUCUCCUUCUCUCCAUUCCACAUCCUUGGUAUAAACAACACACUUGUAGGUAACAUUAUCCAUAAUUUUCACUAUCUACUUAUGUGAAUAUUCAAGCUGUCCAUCUGUGUCAUAGUCACUAAAUUAUUUUUAUCUUGAGCUACAGAACUCCAAAUUAAGAUCCUAUAAUUUUCCCUGAAACUAGACUCUUAUACCUUCUUACCAUAAAAAUUUCAUAAUUUUUGGUUGGGCCAAUUAAUACAGUUUAUUCAUUAAAGUCUCCCCUGUUCUGCUGUCUGACAGUUCCGACCCUUCUUCACUAAAAAUUAAUUAUCUUCUUGUACAGGAUUCUAAUGAUGUCUUCGUUUGUUUCUAUUGAAAAUAGACUCAUUCAGGAUUCUAAACAUAUAAAUUUAAGCCCCUAAUUAUUUUUAUCCAAUUUUUUAUGAUUUUCCAAAGUCAGAACAGGGGAACUCGAAAUCAUUCUGACCUUGUCUCACAAAAGUUAUUAUAUCUCAUAAUUUACAAUUCAAUUGCUUAUAUAGUUUCUUUCAUAAGAAAAAGAAACUAGACUAAAUAAGAUUUAAUUCUAUAUUUUAUUCAUCCUCUAAUUCAAUUUCUACAAUGUUUUGUGAUUUUUCAAACUUAAACUACUGCUGCUGUCCAAAAUAGUCUUAGUGCAAAAUGUUGAUUUUCUACUUUUAAUUUCAAUUUAAUCCUAACUAAAUUCACUUACUUUUCUAUCUUAAUUCAUACUUUGCUUCUACUCAAUUUUUAACCAAACUUACACAUAAUUAUCUAUUUUUCAUCAUAAAACCAUAAUUUCGAAAUUCUUUCAAUUUAGUCCUUAAAGCAUAAAACUUAUGAAUCACUUUACAAUUCAAUCCUUUUUUCAUUUCUAACUUGAAUUUCUAUCAAUUUAGCCCUUAAUUCAUCUUUUUUGUUCAAUAAGAACAAUGUCUUAUAAUCAACUAUCUUACAAUAAAUCAACUUAAUUUCAUCAAAACCUUGUUCUAAAAUUUCUAAAACAUCAAAAUUAAGUAAAAAGGGCUAAAUUGACAUACCUAUUUAAAUCUCAAGCUUCAAACCUUCAAUUUUCCCUUUCUUCUUUCUUUUCCCCUUUCUUUCUUGCUUUCCCUGCUUUUCGUUUUGCCUAUUCU
rnacentral:lncRNA from 1 species